rnacentral:rRNA from 1 species
UACAGAGGAUGCAAGCGUUAUCCGGAAUGAUUGGGCGUAAAGCGUCUGUAGGUGGCUUUUUAAGUCCGCCGUCAAAUCCCAAGGCUCAACUCUGGAUAGGCGGUGGAAACUACCAAGCUCGAGUACGGUAGGGGCAGAGGGAAUUUCCGGUGGAGCGGUGAAAUGCGUAGAGAUCGGAAAGAACACCAACGGCGAAAGCACUCUGCUGGGCCGACACUGACACUGAGAGACGAAAGCUAGGGGAGCGAAUGGG